ACCAGCGUGGCAUAUUGGUUUGAGUGUGUGUUGGACUAUGACUCUAGAGACCAGGGUUCGAUUCCCAGCUGAGCCA